UCACCAGGUCGGAUAUAUACUCGCAUUUUCGAAUAAUAUUGGAAGUUUUAUUUCAACAAAGACAAUUUAUUGUUGGGGUAUGUAUUGCCUUACAUUCUAUUUGAUUAGUUUAUGUGUUUUUCAAUUAUUUUGCAAAAUAAAGGAAUUAGAAUAAUGUAGAUGAUGAACAAUGAACGUCUGUCAAAAAAGCAACGUUCGCAAAAAACUGUCCAUCGACUCGGUUAUUGUGUGAUUAUGUAUUGGGUGGGGAUUCAAAGUUAGUGUUAAACUUGGUACUUUCUGGUUUUACAGGUGGUUUCUUAAGUUUUGAAGCCAUAACCAGAAAUUUUAUUGAAAAAAGGUUGCUAACGUAAUUUCUGUCAAUUUUAGUGAAUGACGUUCGCACAUUUGUUCCUCAGUUUAUAGCUGUUACUUCCCUUUUUUGCGUAGUGACAAGAAACUACGAUUAAAUCUGUAAGUAUCCGAAUGCAAAAACAUGGCCGAAUUGAGACGCUCGAUUACAUGAUCCAAAUUAUUUUGAUGACUCGAAGCAAUUGAAGACUUGUGGCGAUGAUUUGGCCGACAGUUUGAUUGAAGACAUUGGUAUACCUGCUACCAAGCAAAGGUUGUUCAAACCCAUGAGCUGCACAGAGAGGAGAAAGUCUAUGGAUUGUGGGUCCAGUUCUAUAAGAAAGGAAAGCGACAAUUAUGGACAUUGGAGGAGAAAUCUUUCUUUGUUUGUUGGGAGGAUAUCAUUAAACAAGUUGCUGAACCUACUGUCUAUGCAUGGAUCUAGAUAAUACUACAAAUUUUGAGUGUUUGGUGUACAGUUACACUUAAUAGCCCAUCAGAAAGGCCGACAUGGUGACUUGUGCUUUUACAUCCAAUUUGGUGUAGACUGUUUUCAUACUUUCUUACAAAAACUGUUAGAAAUAUAAUAUAUCUUUUGAAAAGUUUCAAUAGCCAUUGUCAAUUUAUUUUGUAAAAUACGUUCUUUAGUGCCUAGAACAGUUGAUGGCCAGUGUUUUGACAGUUAAUUUCGGAUAAUGUCCAAAUAAAUUUACAUAAUUUACUUGUUUGCUCUUAGAAAACUUU